GAUGAAGAACGUAGCGAAAUGCGAUACGUAAUGUGAAUUGCAAAUUCAGUGAAUCAUCGAGUCUUUGAACGCACAUUGCGCCCCCUGGUAUUCCGGGGGGCAUGCCUGUCCGAGCGUCAUUGCUGCCCUCAAGCACGGCUUGUGUGUUGGGCCCCGUCCUCCGAUCCCGGGGGACGGGCCCGAAAGGCAGCGGCGGCACCGCGUCCUGUCCUCGAGCGUAUGGGGCUUUGUCACCCGCUCUGUAGGCCCGGCCGGCGCUUGCCGAUCAACCCAAAUUUUUAUCCAGGUUGACCUCGGAUCAGGUAGGGAUACCCGCUGAACUUAAGCAUAUCAAUAAGCGGAGGA
rnacentral:misc_RNA from 1 species